GGGCCUGGGAACAAUAAAGCCCUUUAUGUUGCUCCCGUGGUGCAGAUUUAGUAAUGUUUUGCUCCUGGAGGGCAGGCAUCAACAGGCUGCAAGCAAGGACGGGUCUUCGGAGAGGGGUGCUGUGAAGAAACGUGCGGGCGCAUGGUCCCAGAUACCAUUCACUACAUCAACACUAGCCUUGAACGCUUUCUGCAUUGUGCCACUCUGACGCUGCCUCAAGUCGGCUGUCAUCUCUCUAAACACAUGGAUCUGCUUGAAUCUUCAGUUCUCAAACCUAAGCCAAGCAUGUGAUAAACCAUGGGAGUUGUACAUAUCUGUGUGCAUCUAUUAUUUUCACCUGGAACAUCCGGGAGAAGACUCGGAGCCCUGGAAGCCACUCCGUUCUGUCCCACCCCACCGUGCAUUGAGGUCCUCAGCUCAAAUCCAGGCUUGCACCUGCUUCUCACUGGGAUGAUGUCACCUGACCUGUCCAAGCCUCAGUUUGCCAGGCUGUGGACUGGGGGUAAUGGCAGUCCCUACCUACGGGGUUGUCAGGAAGAUUCAGUGAGGGGGAGCUUGGGAACUGCUGUGCUGGCAGGAUGGCGAUAGUGGUGUCCUUUCCCCUGCUGUAGCAGUAGGGUGGCGCCCUGGUGCCGAUCCAUCAGGAUUCCUGGCCCGGCACCCACAGGACACCGCAGGGCCUGUCUCCCCGGCUCCCAGCAGGCCUACAGGAGGCUCGUCUCUGGGUUCACCAGAUGUCUCGCCACGGGAAGUGAGAAGGUCAAGCACAGAUGUGGCCAAAGUGAAUCAUCCGGCAGGGCCUGGCCCUGGACCCCAUGGACCGGGAUGCACACCCAUCUUUCUCAGACUCUGGAAACUGAGAGCCUGAUCCCCUGCUCUGUCCUCUCCCCCCGCAUGAUCCUCGACCCUGCCCAGAGCUCUUCCAGCCCCAGACACCCUCGCCAGGGCCAUGGGCGUGCGAGGGCUUGUCUUCUGAGUGGCUGUGCUGUUUGCUACAGACUUCUGAAUGCUAGGCCAACCAGAUGUGUUUUCAAAAUCUGUCCAGAUUUCCUUUCAUAAAAGUAGUGGACACAAUUCCAAAGCCACCCCAAUGCUACCAUUGUGUGUGCAUGUGAUGUCAAGGGUUUGUAUGACCACGUCACUCUUGAAAACUCAGCUGAAGACAAACGGAGUUUCAUGCAUGAAAAGGAGUCAGAAUCCAACAACAGGACCUCUUUGAGGGACCGCACGUGUGUCGUGGGCCACGGCAACCACCUGGCUCAUCAUGUUCACAGCUGGCGGGGGAGCCGAUCCCACACACAGCUCCUUGAACAGCCUCAAAAUACCGUGGACACUGUUGCGCGAUAAACAGAGGAGCAUCUUUGUCUCAGAUGCGAGGAAGUGCUCGCCCACCGGAGGUGGCGUGAGAUGGGCAAUAAACAGCCGUUCUCCGGGACCACCACGAGGCAAGAGACGUGCAUAAAGGCAUUUCAAUAUUUCUGCAAACUCACAAAGAAGGAGCCAUUUCCCUUUCAUACUUAAUAAAGAUCUCCUCCGUCAGCUGCAGCCAGUGAUAAGCGUAAUAUCCUUAAAUGGUUAAUCCCGGGAUCACGGCUCAAGUGUUUCUGCCGGUUGGAGCAGGAAAGCUGUUAGUAGCUGCAGUGUGCAUUUCAUAAACCCAAGGAAAAAAAAUUUUUUUGAUUUGGCUUUUUACUCUAUCUGAAAUGCUUUCUCUUUCAGGGGUAAGAUAAGGCCUGGUUCUUCACAUAAAACUAGAGCUUAGCCAUCCCCCGUCUCUCUCCGUGAAGGAGAAGGUCCUGUCUGUGCACAGAUGUCUCAGAUUAAAUUGUACCUUGCAGUCCUUCCCGUGCUAGCACUAGAUGAACUGCCAGAAGGGCCGUAGGCAAGAACUGAAUUGCUUUGGUUUCAGUACACAGCGAAUUUGGCUCAGACAAGCUGAAUCAGUACAUUAAAUGCGAAUCCCUCACAGAUUUGAAAGCAGCCUUUAGCACAAUUAUUGACUGUGAGUGAUGAUUAUGUCUAAUUGGGGGAGACUUCUGCUACCUGUAGCUCGGCUGGAGCCCAUCGCGCCGCGGCCAGGCGCUGCUUCUUAAUUCAAUGUUCCAGCUUGAGAGCGGCGGUGGAAGCUAAAUCCUGACGUGUGUACACAUGGUCGAUAAACUUUAAUAAACUUUACAGGUUCAGUAACUAGGCUGAGUGUAUAAUUCAAUUUUUUAAUUCAGGAGAAGGGAAUGGCUAACAAGUCUGUUGGCCUGCAACAAUGCACUCGUUCACCACCGGCAGACACCUUCCGGAACAGGGACGUGGGGCUGAGCCUAGCUCCCCGCUGGCACUCCGGAGCCCAGCCUCACCGGGCCAUCCACACGUGCACCCUCUCGGGCCGGGACCCAGGGCAGCCGGUCUUCGGGGAAAACAAAGCGCAGCGACGACGCAUCCUUUGUUAGGGGCCAUGUCAACAACCAGGGCUCGCGGAUGGAUUUCUUCCCAGACCCACCAGCUUGCCCAGACCUGGGUCCUUCUGAUUCACUUUCACAUCGCACUACGAAUCACACCAAAGCUCCAGAGAAGGCCUGUUCUUCCCAAA